UGGGGGAUAUUGCACAAUGGGCGAAAGCCUGAUGCAGCGACGCCGCGUGGGGGAUGAAGGCUUUCGGGUUGUAAACCUCUUUCGCUAUCGAACAAGGCCCGCUUAGGGUGGGUUGAGGGUAGGUGGAGAAGAAGCGCCGGCUAACUACGUGCCAGCAGCCGCGGUAAUACGUAGGGCGCGAGCGUUGUCCGCAAUUAUUGGGCGUAAAGGGCUUGUAGGCGGCUUGUUGCGCCUGCUGUGAAAACGCGGGGCUUAACUUCGCGCGUGCAGUGGGUACGGGCAGGCUUGAGUGUGGUAGGGGUGACUGGAAUUCCAGGUGUAGCGGUGGAAUGCGCAGAUAUCUGGAGGAACACCGAUGGCGAAGGCAGGUCACUGGGCCAUUACUGACGCUGAGGAGCGAAAGCAUGGGUAGCGAACAGG
rnacentral:rRNA from 1 species